rnacentral:lncRNA from 1 species
AUGUUGCUGCUUUUAUGAAUCAUAAUGUAAAUAUCUCAUAUGCGACCCCCAUGAAAAGGUCAUUCAACUCUCCAAAGUGGUUGAGACCCAUAGGUUGAGAAACGCUGCUCAAGGUUUCUCAACCCCGGCACCUCCAUCCCACCCAGAAUGCUUGCUUGAUAGGUGGAUGCUUGCUCAGCCAGGCUCCUCCCCCAAGAGGGUGUGGCUAAAAACUAGGCACUAUAAAAGUCAAGACCGGUCCGAUUCUUUCUGUGGGUUCCUCUCAGCCCACCUGGAGCGUUUCUUCUCCGCCAGUGGAUACGGUCCCAAAUCCACAUCCUGCAUCUGCUUUGGUUCUCAUCUGGAUCUGACAGUUUCUGCUUUGGAUAAAAUAGAGUCAUUGGCCUACCAGGGGCUUCCAGCCUAGUCAUCUGGAAAGGUCCUCACUACGGAAAAUCUAGUUCAACAAAAAGCUUAACACCAUCCCCCAAACAUCCGUGUUUUUUCCUGCCACAAAAGGACCAGGCAAGAGGCCCAGCUCAGCCUCAGCCCUGCAAGCUGCUCAGGUACUCCAGAAAGGACAGCUGCCAUAAUCGUACAGCCC